rnacentral:rRNA from 1 species
AUUGAACGCUGGCGGCAUGCCUUACACAUGCAAGUCGAACGGCAGCACGGGUGCUUGCACCUGGUGGCGAGUGGCGAACGGGUGAGUAAUACAUCGGAACAUGUCCUGUAGUGGGGGAUAGCCCGGCGAAAGCCGGAUUAAUACCGCAUACGAUCUACGGAUGAAAGCGGGGGACCUUCGGGCCUCGCGCUAUAGGGUUGGCCGAUGGCUGAUUAGCUAGUUGGUGGGGUAAAGGCCUACCAAGGCGACGAUCAGUAGCUGGUCUGAGAGGACGACCAGCCACACUGGGACUGAGACACGGCCCAGACUCCUACGGGAGGCAGCAGUGGGGAAUUUUGGACACUGGGCGAAAGCCUGAUCCAGCAAUGCCGCGUGUGUGAAGAAGGCCUUCGGGUUGUAAAGCACUUUUGUCCGGAAAGAAAUCCUUGGCCCUAAUACGGUCGGGGGAUGACGGUACCGGAAGAAUAAGCACCGGCUAACUACGUG